UGGGGAAUAUUGGACAAUGGGCGCAAGCCUGAUCCAGCCAUGCCGCGUGAGUGAUGAAGGCCCUAGGGUUGUAAAGCUCUUUCACCGGUGAAGAUAAUGACGGUAACCGGAGAAGAAGCCCCGGCUAACUUCGUGCCAGCAGCCGCGGUAAUACGAAGGGGGCUAGCGUUGUUCGGAUUUACUGGGCGUAAAGCGCACGUAGGCGGACUAUUAAGUCAGGGGUGAAAUCCCGGGGCUCAACCCCGGAACUGCCUUUGAUACUGGUAGUCUUGAGUGCGAGAGAGGUGAGUGGAAUUCCGAGUGUAGAGGUGAAAUACGUAGAUAUUCGGAGGAACACCAGUGGCGAAGGCGGCUCACUGGCUCGAUACUGACGCUGAGGUGCGAAAGCGUGCGGAGCAAACAGG
rnacentral:rRNA from 1 species